rnacentral:rRNA from 1 species
AUUGAACGCUGGCGGCAUGCUUUACACAUGCAAGUCGAACGGUAACAGGGAGCUUGCUCCGCUGACGAGUGGCGAACGGGUGAGUAAUGCGUCGGAACGUGCCGAGUAGUGGGGGAUAACGCAGCGAAAGUUGUGCUAAUACCGCAUACGUACUGAGGUAGAAAGUGGGGGACCUUCGGGCCUCACGCUAUUCGAGCGGCCGACGUCUGAUUAGCUAGUAGGUGAGGUAAAGGCUCACCUAGGCGACGAUCAGUAGCGGGUCUGAGAGGAUGAUCCGCCACACUGGGAAUGAGACACGGCCCAGACUCCUACGGGAGGCAGCAGUGGGGAAUUUUGGACAAUGGGCGAAAGCCUGAUCCAGCCAUGCCGCGUAUCUGAAGAAGGCCUUCGGGUUGUAAAGGACUUUUGUCGGGGAGGAAAUCCCCAGCGCUAAUACCGCUGGGGGAUGACAGUACCUGAAGAAUAAGCACCGGCUAACUACGUGCCAGCCGCCGCGGUAAGAC